UGCAAGUCGAGCGGACCGACGGGAGCUUGCUCCCUUAGGUUAGCGGCGGACGGGUGAGUAACACGUGGGUAACCUGCCUGUAAGACUGGGAUAACUCCGGGAAACCGGGGCUAAUACCGGAUGCUUGAUUGAACCGCAUGGUUCAAUUAUAAAAGGUGGCUUCGGCUAUCACUUACAGAUGGACCCGCGGCGCAUUAGCUAGUUGGUGAGGUAACGGCUCACCAAGGCAACGAUGCGUAGCCGACCUGAGAGGGUGAUCGGCCACACUGGGGCUGAGACACGGCCCAGACUCCUACGGGAGGCAGCAGUAGGGAAUCUUCCGCAAUGGACGAAAGUCUGACGGAGCAACGCCGCGUGAGUGAUGAAGGUUUUCGGAUCGUAAAACUCUGUUGUUAGGGAAGAACAAGUACCGUUCGAAUAGGGCGGUACCUUGACGGUACCUAACCAGAAAGCCACGGCUAACUACGUGCCAGCAGCCGCGGUAAUACGUAGGUGGCAAGCGUUGUCCGGAAUUAUUGGGCGUAAAGCGCGCGCAGGCGGUUUCUUAAGUCUGAUGUGAAAGCCCACGGCUCAACCGUGGAGGGUCAUUGGAAACUGUUAAACUUGAGUGCAGGAGAGAAAAGUGGAAUUCCUAGUGUAGCGGUGAAAUGCGUAGAGAUUAGGAGGAACACCAGUGGCGAAGGCGGCUUUUUGGCCUGUAACUGACCCUGAGGCGCGAAAGCGUGGGGAGCGAACAGGAUUAGAUACCCUGGUAGUCCACGCCGUAAACGAUGAGUGCUAAGUGUU
rnacentral:rRNA from 1 species